rnacentral:rRNA from 1 species
AGUGAACGCUGGCGGUAGGCCUAACACAUGCAAGUCGAACGGCAGCACAGUAAGAGCUUGCUCUUACGGGUGGCGAGUGGCGGACGGGUGAGGAAUACAUCGGAAUCUACUUUUUCGUGGGGGAUAACGUAGGGAAACUUACGCUAAUACCGCAUACGACCUACGGGUGAAAGCAGGGGAUCUUCGGACCUUGCGCGAUUGAAUGAGCCGAUGUCGGAUUAGCUAGUUGGCGGGGGAAAGGCCCACCAAGGCGACGAUCCGUAGCUGGUCUGAGAGGAUGAUCAGCCACACUGGAACUGAGACACGGUCCAGACUCCUACGGGAGGCAGCAGGGGGAAAUAUUGAACAAUGGGCGCAAGCCUGAUCCAGCCAAACCGCGUGGGUGAAGAAGGCCUUCGGGUUGUAAAGCCCUUUUGUUGGGAAAGAAAAGCAGCAGGUUAAUACCCCGCUGUUCUGACGGUACCCAAAGAAUAAGCACCGGCUAACUUCGU